GGCUUGUUUGGAUGUCCACGCCGAAAUCCCAUGGGAUUCAUGGGUUUGGACUAGUGCAACUAGAAAAAAAGAAGUGUGGGCUAGACUUAUAUUCUCAAUACCCAAGGGCCUUUGGAGUGGGCUGACCCGAAUUCAAUAGGGAGAAAAAAUUGAUCAGCCCGAAUCCAUUUUUUCUCCCUAUUGGAUUCGGGCUAGCCCAUAUAAAAGAGAGUCUUGGAAGGUUGUAGACAUAGGCUUAGCCAGCCUCUGAUUCAUUAUUUUUUGAGGUUAUGCUAGCUCAACCCACGAAUCCUGUGGAAUUUUAGGUCCAAAUAUCCAAACAGACCCUAAGUAGGAAAAAGGGACCUUGGCUUUGGUUGCUUUGUGUGGAUGCUCCCGUCCCAGGUUUGAUUGUAUGACUAAUUUGCUAUCUCACCAAGAAGAC
rnacentral:lncRNA from 1 species